GCCAACAUGGUGCAGUGGUUUGAACACCAGACAAGGACUCUGGAGACCAGUGUUCGAAUCCCAGUUCAGCCA